rnacentral:rRNA from 1 species
CCUACGGGAGGCAGCAGUGGGGAAUAUUGCGCAAUGGACGAAAGUCUGACGCAGCGACGCCUCGUGAGGGACGAAGGUCUUCGGAUUGUAAACCUCUUUCAGCAGGGAAGAAGCGAAAGUGACGGUACCUACAGAAGAAGCACCGGCUAACUAUGUGCCAGCAGCCGCGGUAAUACAUAGGGUGCAAGCGUUGUCCGGAAUUAUUGGGCGUAAAGAGCUCGUAGGUGGUUCGUUACGUCGGAUGUGAAAAUCUGGGGCUCAACCCCAGACCUGCAUCCGAUACGGUCGAGCUAGAGUUUGGUAGGGGAGACUGGAAUUCCUGGUGUAGCGGUGGAAUGCGCAGAUAUCAGGAGGAACACCAAUGGCGAAGGCAGGUCUCUGGGCCAAUACUGACACUGAGGAGCGAAAGCGUGGGGAGCGAACAGGAUUAGAUACCCUGGUAGUCCACGCCGUAAACGGUGGGCGCUAGUUGUGGGAACCUUCCACGGUUUCUGCGACGCAGCUAACGCAUUAAGCGCCCCGCCUGGGGAGUACGAUCGCAAGAUUAAAACUCAAAGGAAUUGACGG